ensembl:lncRNA
CCUCCUGCCAUUCACUGUACCUCCAGCCAGCCUGGGCUCCCUCUGCCUAUCCCCUCACUUCCCCCUCCUUAUUCAGCUACCUCCAGUCCCCAGUGCCCCUCUGCCUCUGUGUGGCCUCCCUCUUUUUUCUCUAUCUCUGACCUAUGGUCUGCCUCCUUUCAUGGUGUCAGCCCAGCCUCCUUAUCUGAACCCUCAACCCCUACACGCUCCCCUUCACAACCCUCUCCCUCUGUGCAAGGCAGGGCCUUUCAUCCACAGGGGCCUGACCUCUGCACAGUGUUGGCUUUGUCCUGGGGGUCCUGAGCUAAACAGAGAUGAACACUAGUGUUGCUCUGGGCCCAGCCCUGCCCUCUUCCCUCGGCCCCACAUUUCUCUGAUGCCUCAAAGUCCAGCCCCGUAGCUCACCCAGCAGCCACACCCAGGUCCAAAAUCAGCACUCACAUUGGAGGGAGAGUAAGAACCAACCAACAAAAUCAAGACACAUUGAUCCUUCCUUUAUUCUAUUAUUAUUUUAAGGAGUAUAAAGUCCCUGCUACACUAUUUCUGAGUGGAGGAUUGGCCAGACAGUUCUCCCAAAGAACACGUGUCUUUGGAACAUGCACAAAAUGGACCAAUAGAUAAUGUCCAAUUACACAUUUCUUAAGGAGUCAAACUGUGCUGAGAGGAGAAAUCAUUGACCUUAGUGCCAAUUGUACAAGAGAAAGAUCCCAUGAGAAAAAGCCAACUCCUAGGAGCACAGGGAACAAUGGACCUCAUGGCAAGUGCUGGAGAUCAGAGAAGACAGGUUUCACUCAACCCAGGUGCAGGUCAUUUUGAGUGCAAAACCCCAGAGGUCCCUGCUCACUGGGUCCAUUAGAACACCAGGCAGUCAGCCUCCUGAGCGACAGUUGUGAAGCUCGUCACUAUGAGCAGGACCACUUAUCAUUCUGCAGGCAGUGGCUCCCCCUACACCAUGCAGCUGCUGGAAGCAUCUUUCCCAAACAGACAGCUCAUCCCGAUGGUCCUGCUUCUGUUUCCUCAUUGCCCUCAGGACAAAGCUCAGCUCCCUCAGCUUGGCCUCCCAUCGCUCUGCCUCUGCUCUCAUGCCCGCCCUCACCUUCAGCCCCUGCUGCAAAGGCAGCCCAAUGUCCAGCCUGAAUGGUCUAGCAGACACUCAAUACCAGAGUAAGACGUGACGUUAAUAUAUAGGUGAACAUAUGUUUGGAAUACCCAGCAGAUUACUCUUCUUUGCCAUUCAGAGAAGAAAUCAUGGCAUUCGAUAUGCAAUAAAAACAGGUUUUAUAUAAAUUAUUACA